rnacentral:rRNA from 1 species
UUGUGAGGUUAAGCGACUAAGCGUACACGGUGGAUGCCCUGGCAGUCAGAGGCGAUGAAGGACGUGCUAAUCUGCGAUAAGCGUCGGUGAGGUGAUAUGAACCGUUAUAACCGGCGAUUUCCGAAUGGGGAAACCCAGUGUGUUUCGACACACUAUCAUUAACUGAAUCCAUAGGUUAAUGAGGCGAACCGGGGGAACUGAAACAUCUAAGUACCCCGAGGAAAAGAAAUCAACCGAGAUUCCCCCAGUAGCGGCGAGCGAACGGGGAGGAGCCCAGAGCCUGAAUCAGUGUGUGUGUUAGUGGAAGCGUCUGGAAAGGCGCGCGAUACAGGGUGACAGCCCCGUACACAAAAAUGCACAUAUUGUGAGCUCGAUGAGUAGGGCGGGACACGUGGUAUCCUGUCUGAAUAUGGGGGGACCAUCCUCCAAGGCUAAAUACUCCUGACUGACCGAUAGUGAACCAGUACCGUGAGGGAAAGGCGAAAAGAACCCCGGCGAGGGGAGUGAAAAAGAACCUGAAACCGUGUACGUACAAGCAGUGGGAGCCUCUUAAUGGGGUGACUGCGUACCUUUUGUAUAAUGGGUCAGCGACUUAUAUUCUGUAGCAAGGUUAACCGAAUAGGGGAGCCGAAGGGAAACCGAGUCUUAACUGGGCGUUAAGUUGCAGGGUAUAGACCCGAAACCCGGUGAUCUAGCCAUGGGCAGGUUGAAGGUUGGGUAACACUAACUGGAGGACCGAACCGACUAAUGUUGAAAAAUUAGCGGAUGACUUGUGGCUGGGGGUGAAAGGCCAAUCAAACCGGGAGAUAGCUGGUUCUCCCCGAAAGCUAUUUAGGUAGCGCCUCGUGAAUUCAUCUCCGGGGGUAGAGCACUGUUUCGGCAAGGGGGUCAUCCCGACUUACCAACCCGAUGCAAACUGCGAAUACCGGAGAAUGUUAUCACGGGAGACACACGGCGGGUGCUAACGUCCGUCGUGAAGAGGGAAACAACCCAGACCGCCAGCUAAGGUCCCAAAGUCAUGGUUAAGUGGGAAACGAUGUGGGAAGGCCCAGACAGCCAGGAUGUUGGCUUAGAAGCAGCCAUCAUUUAAAGAAAGCGUAAUAGCUCACUGGUCGAGUCGGCCUGCGCGGAAGAUGUAACGGGGCUAAACCAUGCACCGAAGCUGCGGCAGCGACACUAUGUGUUGUUGGGUAGGGGAGCGUUCUGUAAGCCUGUGAAGGUGUACUGUGAGGUAUGCUGGAGGUAUCAGAAGUGCGAAUGCUGACAUAAGUAACGAUAAAGCGGGUGAAAAGCCCGCUCGCCGGAAGACCAAGGGUUCCUGUCCAACGUUAAUCGGGGCAGGGUGAGUCGACCCCUAAGGCGAGGCCGAAAGGCGUAGUCGAUGGGAAACAGGUUAAUAUUCCUGUACUUGGUGUUACUGCGAAGGGGGGACGGAGAAGGCUAUGUUGGCCGGGCGACGGUUGUCCCGGUUUAAGCGUGUAGGCUGGUUUUCCAGGCAAAUCCGGAAAAUCAAGGCUGAGGCGUGAUGACGAGGCACUACGGUGCUGAAGCGACAAAUGCCCUGCUUCCAGGAAAAGCCUCUAAGCAUCAGGUAACAUCAAAUCGUACCCCAAACCGACACAGGUGGUCAGGUAGAGAAUACCAAGGCGCUUGAGAGAACUCGGGUGAAGGAACUAGGCAAAAUGGUGCCGUAACUUCGGGAGAAGGCACGCUGAUAUGUAGGUGAAGCGACUUGCUCGUGGAGCUGAAAUCAGUCGAAGAUACCAGCUGGCUGCAACUGUUUAUUAAAAACACAGCACUGUGCAAACACGAAAGUGGACGUAUACGGUGUGACGCCUGCCCGGUGCCGGAAGGUUAAUUGAUGGGGUUAGCGGUAACGCGAAGCUCUUGAUCGAAGCCCCGGUAAACGGCGGCCGUAACUAUAACGGUCCUAAGGUAGCGAAAUUCCUUGUCGGGUAAGUUCCGACCUGCACGAAUGGCGUAAUGAUGGCCAGGCUGUCUCCACCCGAGACUCAGUGAAAUUGAACUCGCUGUGAAGAUGCAGUGUACCCGCGGCAAGACGGAAAGACCCCGUGAACCUUUACUAUAGCUUGACACUGAACAUUGAGCCUUGAUGUGUAGGAUAGGUGGGAGGCUUUGAAGUGUGGACGCCAGUCUGCAUGGAGCCGACCUUGAAAUACCACCCUUUAAUGUUUGAUGUUCUAACGUGGGCCCCUUACCGGGGUUGCGGACAGUGUCUGGUGGGUAGUUUGACUGGGGCGGUCUCCUCCUAAAGAGUAACGGAGGAGCACGAAGGUUGGCUAAUCCUGGUCGGACAUCAGGAGGUUAGUGCAAUGGCAUAAGCCAGCUUGACUGCGAGCGUGACGGCGCGAGCAGGUGCGAAAGCAGGUCAUAGUGAUCCGGUGGUUCUGAAUGGAAGGGCCAUCGCUCAACGGAUAAAAGGUACUCCGGGGAUAACAGGCUGAUACCGCCCAAGAGUUCAUAUCGACGGCGGUGUUUGGCACCUCGAUGUCGGCUCAUCACAUCCUGGGGCUGAAGUAGGUCCCAAGGGUAUGGCUGUUCGCCAUUUAAAGUGGUACGCGAGCUGGGUUUAGAACGUCGUGAGACAGUUCGGUCCCUAUCUGCCGUGGGCGCUGGAGAACUGAGGGGGGCUGCUCCUAGUACGAGAGGACCGGAGUGGACGCAUCACUGGUGUUCGG